rnacentral:tRNA from 1 species
GCCGAGGUGGCGGAAUUGGUAGACGCGCUAGCUUGAGGGGCUAGUGACCGGUUAGGUCGUGUGGGUUCAAGUCCCAUCCUCGGCACCA